rfam:Mustela putorius furo unplaced genomic scaffold scaffold00031, whole genome shotgun sequence.
AGCUUUGUGCAGUGGCAGUAUCAUAGCCAAUGAGGUUUAUCUGAGGCGCGAUUAUUGCUAAUUGAAAAAGAUUAUUUGAAAAAAACAAAAAGAAGACAAUUAGGUGCCUCUUACUUCUUUAUUUACAACAACAAUUUAU